CGAAGCGUAUUAGCGGAAGUUUUCGGAUGGAAGCGGAUAUGACUUAGCGGCGGACGGGUGAGUAACGCGUGGAUAACCUGCCUCAUACAGGGGGAUAACAGUUAGAAAUGACUGCUAAUACCGCAUAAGCGCACAGGACCGCAUGGUCCGGUGUGAAAAACUCCGGUGGUAUGAGAUGGAUCCGCGUCUGAUUAGCUGGUUGGUGAGGUAACGGCCCACCAAGGCGACGAUCAGUAGCCGACCUGAGAGGGUGGCCGGCCACAUUGGGACUGAGACACGGCCCAAACUCCUACGGGAGGCAGCAGUGGGGAAUAUUGCACAAUGGGGGAAACCCUGAUGCAGCAACGCCGCGUGAGUGAAGAAGUAUUUCGGUAUGUAAAGCUCUAUCAGCAGGGAAGAAGAAAGACGGUACCUGACUAAGAAGCCCCGGCUAACUACGUGCCAGCAGCCGCGGUAAUACGUAGGGGGCAAGCGUUAUCCGGAUUUACUGGGUGUAAAGGGAGCGUAGACGGCUGUGCAAGUCUGAAGUGAAAGCCCGUGGCUCAACCGCGGAACUGCUUUGGAAACUGUAUAGCUUGAGUACUGGAGAGGCAGGCGGAAUUCCUAGUGUAGCGGUGAAAUGCGUAGAUAUUAGGAGGAACACCAGUGGCGAAGGCGGCCUGCUGGACAGAAACUGACGUUGAGGCUCGAAAGCGUGGG
rnacentral:rRNA from 1 species